rnacentral:rRNA from 1 species
UACGUAGGGGGCUAGCGUUGUCCGGAAUCAUUGGGCGUAAAGCGCGUGUAGGCGGCCCGAUAAGUCCGCUGUGAAAGUCGGGGGCUCAACCCUCGAAAGCCGGUGGAUACUGUCGGGCUCGAGUACGGGAGAGGCGAGUGGAAUUCCUGGUGUAGCGGUGAAAUGCGCAGAUAUCAGGAGGAACACCGAUUGCGAAGGCAGCUCGCUGGAACGUUACUGACGCUGAGACGCGAAAGCGUGGGGAGCAAACAGG